GCAAGAUAUUAACUGACACACCUCGAAAAUGUAUAUAUUCUAAAUGCUAAUGCUAGCUUACUGUUUUAGCAGAAAAUCCAGCUGUAUGCUAGCUGCCCAGUGUCAAGUGGUGGAAAGUAGCUAACGUUAUUUUAACAUUAAUUAACUUAUUAAAUACUGUAUUGUGUCAUAUUCUGCUUUAAGAUCGCUUGAAUAUGUCUGCCAAUGCUGCUUCUACUUGACUACAACUCAGACAAACAUAUUUUUAGCUGUAGUUGAUUACUUUGAGAGCUGAUUCCUUUAGUAUUGGUUUUUGUUGAUACCAACUUGAUAAGAUUAAACAUGUAUCAGUAAUGCAUCAAUACUAAAAUAAUUUAUUCGGUUUAAUAUAAACUUUUUUAAGGGUUUCAUUCUGCAUUAUGACGACUUCACGGUAAUUAAAGAGCAUGUUGUUAUGUCUGGUGGUUUUGGAAUACACACUUCUGUACAUCCGGUCUGAGGGUAGAAGCAUGAACAGUCCGUGGUGGGGGUGGUUGGGGUCACUCCUGUGGACUCUGCGGUGGUAAAUGCUCUGCAGAGAGGGCAGUAGAGUUCUGGUGAUCUUCUCCGCAGUCUUUACCACUGUCUGAAGGUGUCUGCUCUCCAUAGCAGAAGUGCUGCCGUACUAGAUGGUGAUACAGCCGGUUAAAAUGCUUUCAACAAUGGAGCUAUAGUCAUUGCUGAGGAGCUCAGGCUACAUGCCAAUCUUCCUCAGGCUUCUCCGAAAAUAUGGCCGCUGUUGGGCCCACUUUACCAGCUGUGUGGUGUUGAAUGACCAAGUGAGGUCAUCACUGAUGUGGACACCCAGGUACUUGAAGCUGCUCACCCUCACUACUUAUAGCUCCCAUGUACAGUGGGCGAUGCGGUCUCCCUCCUGUAGGCCACUUCGUCCCCACCACUGAUGCAUCCUAUCACUGAGGUGUCGUCUGCAAACUUUAGGAUGGUGUUGUCUUUGUGGGAGGUGACACAGUAAUAGUUGAACAGGGCGUAGAGAAUGGGGCUGAGGACGCAUCCCUGUGGAGUGCCAUUGUUUGUGAUGAUGCUGGCUGAAGUCCUAAUUCCAAUCCUGACAGUCUGGGGCCUGCCAGUCAGAAAGUCUAGGAGCCAGUCACAGAUUGUUGUACUCAGCAUAGUCCUGUAUGCUGACAGAAGAGUCCUCCAGAGUGGCUGCAGCUUUAAACACAUCCCAGUCUGUCCAAACAAAACAGUCCCGCAGGAUGCUUUCAGUGUCCGGGGUCCGGAGUUUGACUUGUUUAGUCACAGGGUUUAUCUGUUUCAGUCUUUGUCUGUAUGCCGGAUACAGGACCAAAGAGAUGUGGUCUGAGUGCCCGAAGUGCAGGCGGGGUGCAGCCUUGUAGGCUCCGAGUAUACUGCUGUAAACAUGAUCCAGUGUAUUUUAAUCAUGGGAGGGAAUAUCCACAGGUUGAUAAUAUUCAGAGAAUACAGUCUUUAAGUUGCAGUGGCUAAAGUCACCAGCGGCGAGGAAGACAGCAUCAGGAUGAACUGUCUCUUGCGCACUGAUGAUGUCAUGAAGUUUGCUGAGCGCUGCUGUGGAGUUGGCUCUCGGGGGAUGUAAAGAGCGGCCAAAAACACAGCAGUAAAUUCCCUCAGUAGAUGGAAGGAACAGCAUUUCAGCAGUAGAAACUCGACAUCUGGUCUGUAUAUCUCCACACGACGAGUUGUUGAUAAACACAAACACACGUCCCCCUCUGGCCUUACCAGAGGCUGCAGUCCAAAGUCAGUGACUUUGUCUGAGAGCCAGGUCUCUGUGAAGUUUUUGACCAUUACUCUGAACUAUGGACUCCUGAACUCAGUCAUUACCUGUGCUGCUUCAUAAAUUAGAUGUCCAGUGUAGACAAGUCAAACUGAAGUUUUAGUGGUAAAAUGUGAAAACAAAGUAAAUCUGAAUGUAACGUAACAUUCAGUGAUGGAGGAUAAAAUGUUGUUUCAGGCUCCUGAUUCAGUAUCUCUGAUGGUUCACUGCCCUCUAGUGGGGAAGUUUAAGUGUGGCACAUUCAGGCUUCAUCACUGUGAGUGCUUCCUCCUCUGUCUGCUUUAAAGGGUCAGUUCACCCAAAUUACAAAAAGACACUUUCUCUCUUACCUUCAGCGGUGUGUAGCCACACAGGUAGUUUUGUUCUGUCUCUCUGAACACUGUGAGGUUUGGAGGUUUUUUCAAAUGUUAGGUGACCCAGUCUACAUGUUGGACAUCUCUGAGCAGUUUCUCAAUCUGAACCACCUAAAUGACACAAAUCCAUUAAAAACAACUGUGUGUCCUCAUCAGAUCCCACCAGUCUUCUUGAACUAUGUGUGUCAAUCACGACUUUAGUACGAUGUGGGUGUUGACUGGCAUUUGGCACGUCAUGUAUGUUAAUAAGCUAAAGCGGAAGUACAUCUAGUGGUUUAAGAGUGUGAUAUCUGACUUCUGCUCACUCACAACUGAGGAACGGCUUCUUUCAAGACGACGUCCGUCUUCACUAGAGAUCAGAGGAGCAGAUAUGAGUUUAAGUGCAGCAGUGAGUGGAUUUGUCGUCUUCCUUCUCUCUGUGUCAGUUUUCACACUUACCUCAGCAGCAUCCUGAUCACAGAGUGAACAGAGAGAAGUGACCAAGAACAGCACAGACUCUAAUAAAUAAUAUUUCUCAUCUUAUCCUGGUCAGUAAACUGCAUUAAAGGUCACAGGUUCAAUACAUUCCUGUUCACUUCACUGCACCUUCAGACUGGGUGCACACUGAGUUUAA